GACGAACGCUGGCGGCGUGCUUAACACAUGCAAGUCGAACGGUGAAGCGCCUUCCUUUUUGGUGGGUGUGGAUGAGUGGCGAACGGGUGAGUAACACGUGAGUAACCUGCCCCCUUCUUCUGGAUAACCGCAUGAAAGUGUGGCUAAUACGGGAUAUUCUGGGUCUGUCGCAUGAUGGGUCUGGGAAAGAUAUUGUUUCGGUGGGGGAUGGGCUCGCGGCCUAUCAGCUUGUUGGUGGGGUGAUGGCCUACCGAGGCGGUGACGGGUAGCCGGCCUGAGAGGGUGGACGGUCACACUGGGACUGAGACACGGCCCAGACUCCUACGGGAGGCAGCAGUGGGGAAUAUUGCACAAUGGGCGCAAGCCUGAUGCAGCGACGCCGCGUGAGGGAUGGAGGCCUUCGGGUUGUGAACCUCUUUCGCCAGUGAAGCAGGCCUGCCUCGUUUGUGGGUGGGUUGACGGUAGCUGGAUAAGAAGCGCCGGCUAACUACGUG
rnacentral:rRNA from 1 species